rnacentral:rRNA from 1 species
UACAGAGGCCCCGAGCGUUAAUCGGAAUCACUGGGCUUAAAGGGUGCGUAGGCGGGUCAGUAAGCGCUUUGUGAAAGCCCCCGGCUCAACCGGGGAGGGUCGUUGGGUACGGCGGAGCUUGAGGGCGGUAGAGGUUGGUGGAAUUCCCGGUGUAGUGGUGAAAUGCGUAGAGAUCGGGAGGAACACCUGUGGCGAAGGCGGCCAACUGGGCCGACCCUGACGCUGAGGCGCGAAGGCGUGGGGAGCGAACGGG